GGAGGGCUGUAGCUCAGUGGCAGAGCAUCUGCCUGGCAUGCAGAAGGUCCCAGGUUCAAUCCCCAGCAUCUCCA